UUUAAAAAUUACAUUUAUGAGACCACUGGAAAUUUGAAGACUGAGUUCUCUAAAUUCAGCUAAUCAGCAGAAACCAGUGCCAAAGAUUGUUCUAAGAAUAUAACCCCAUAACGACUUUGCAGAAAUCUUGAGAGGGCAUUGGACUUCCAAGAUUCAUGGGAGGGAUGCUGUAGUUCCAAAGCUUAUGUCAAGCUCCUUCCACCCAUGGGCCCCAAUACCUGCAUCAGUCAUCCUCUAUCAACCUAAGUGACCACAUAACUGAUUUGACAAAGUAGGGGCUCUGCCUUCCUGGGGCUCGGGUCUGUACUCCUAACCCUGUCAUUACUCACUACGUGACUUAUGACCAGACAUUCAAUUUAUUUGGACUUCAGUUCUUACAUUUGUAAAAUGAGAAUAGCUUCUAGUUCUAAAAAUGAUUAUGAUUCUAUCCUAGCUCUUGGUAUUGUGAGUUGGUGUUGGGUGACCAGCUGUGAGCAGGAUGAAACUCAAAGACGGCUCUGCAGGUGGUGUGUCCUCUCGUCUUGGCAUCUCCAGAGAGGCGUGCUUUGGCCAGAGCAGAAACAGACACGCUCAGGUGCAGUGAUCCAAGGGGAGAUCCCACUUCCUGUUGUUCUUCGUUUUUAUGGGAGCUGGCCGAUAAGAAGAGGGCAACCUCACACAGGAUAAAAAGCAAGACAUCUCCCUUCAUACACUUUGUCUCAGGUGGUCCCGCAUCCCUCCCCAGAGAUAAUCCACGAGAGAAGAAGUGUGAGCGGUUCCUCCUCCUUUGUGUUUCAGAAUUGUUCUCCUGCUUCAGAAUUAUUCUGUUGUACAGCUCAUCUUAUUCUUCUAGCUUUUCAUCUCUUUGAAUACCAUUGCGGAACACAGAGCAAGCAGUGGAG
rnacentral:lncRNA from 1 species